rnacentral:rRNA from 1 species
CCUGCCCACUGAUAAUUUUAAGGGCCGCGGUAUUAUGACCGUGCAAAGGUAGCAUAAUAAUUAGUCUUUUAAUUGAAGGCUCGUAUGAAUGGUUGGACAAAAGGAAUACUGUCUCUAUUUUAUUACUUGAAAUUAACUUUUAAGUGAAAAGGCUUAAAUAUAUCAGAGGGACGAUAAGACCCUAUAAAGCUUUAUAAAUAUUGUGUUUUUAAUUGAAUUUAUUAUAAUAAUCAAAAAUACUUUCUUUUAUUAGGUUGGGGCGACAAAGGUAUAAUUAAUUUUUAACUGCUUUAUAAAAAUACAUAAAAUAAAUGAUUUGUCUGUAAACGAUCCUUUAUAUUGAGAUUUAAAGAUUAAGUUACUUUAGGGAUAACAGCGUUAUUUUCUUUGAGAGUUCAUAUCGAAAAGAAAGCUUGCGACCUCGAUGUUGAAUUAAAUUUUCUAUAUGGCGCAGCAGCUAUAUAAGAAGGUCUGUUCGACCUUUAAAAUUUUACGUGAUCUGAGUU